rnacentral:lncRNA from 1 species
CCGCCGUCCAUCCCCACCUCCCUGCUGUCGCUCCACCACCUAUGUCCCCGCCGCCGUGCCAUCGCUGCCCUCGUGCUCCAGCGUCACCCUCGUCCUCGCUGCCCUCGUCCUCACGCUUCCCCCACCCCACCGACACAUGUUCCCUACCAUCGCCGGGGUCGCAGCCGCCGAUAGACCGACCCCGAGAUCCGUCCGUCCACCGUCCCCAACCCCAUUCCACAUCCCCGAGCCCUCGACCCCAUCCCCUCCUUCCUUCCUUGCAGUCACAGCCGCCGAGAGCUCCGUCCCCUGCCGCCUUCACCGACCAGCCCCCUACCCCACCCCCAAGAUGAAGUGAAUGCCUCUUAGGGAUUCUAGCGCCACCGCCAACCACCAUCGGAGACUGCCAUCCGCAAGCGCCAGCAUCGCCAUAACUACCGAAUCACCUCGGGCUGGUGGGAGUGGGCGUUGCUAGGUAAGCACCGAUGGUGGGAUCCCCAAUUUGUUUUCUUUGUUCUUGUUCUUCCAACCGUGACUAGCACCCUGUGUCUCUAGUAGAUCGAACUGCAAGUUUGCUGCAACUUUGGAGUUGUAUUGUUGGUAGUUGCUGUGGAGUAGUUUGGACAUGUUGUUGAUCUGAAGCAUAACCUGAUCCCUUCUCACUUAAUCAGCCCCUUUUUGUUUAAGAAGAGCGUGUAGUAUUACAAAGGUUACUACUUGGAUCUGUAUACCACUGAGAAGCAAAGCAAUCAUACCUUGUUUUAUUUUCUAAUUGUUUUGCCCGAUCGAUGGCUAGCGGGACAUGGUACUUUAGUUCUUGAAUUCUAGGCUUGCAAGUGUCUGAAUUCUAGGUCUGCAUCAGCAUCAUAUGUUAAUCAGAUAUAUGUGUAACCAGCUAUACUGAUGAUAUUGCUAUAAUAAAUAGUAAUUCUGGAGUACCACUUCUUUUUGUAGCUAGCAUGUAGGCUAUAAGCUCUCGUUGAUGCUAUAGAUGGUCAGGUCGGUUUCAAUUUUUUCCGGACAAAAUUAGAUUCCAACCUAGUUUGUAGGAGGUUUGGUAGAUAUACAAGUCACUAUAAAAAAGUCAGUUGCACAGUCAAAUGACUGAAGUGAAAUAUUCUCAUUGGAGAAAUUUGCAACUGUUACCAAAUUGCAAAUGCAGAAUGAGAUAAUUGUAAGCUUAACACUGCAGAAUCAACGUUUUAUAAAUAUUGUUGGAUUAUCAAGUAUGCAGUAGGGGAUAAAUUUUUAACGGCUGCCUAUAAUGUCAACAUUGUCUAGGCAAAUAACAUGUUCUUUUCCGUUAUUUUUUUCCUUGAGAUGGUAAUACGUUUUAAUACGUGGCCUCAAAAUCUGGAAGACGAAAUUCAUUCAUUGAUACAAGUUUGUUUGCUGUGUUCCCUCCCUGUCAUUUAAACCCGCCAUUCGCUGAGUAAUUAUGGAUAAAUUUGUUGAUCUUCUCUUGUACGGUUUGGUUCAAGCACUUGUGUUUAUGGAGAAAAUUUACACUAGCUUGCACCUGUGGUCAAACAUUUAGGUCAAAAAUGCACCUGCUGCAUGGCCUAUUCCUUCAAUUUGUGCAGUAAGAUAAUGUGAUGAAUCAUUCAUUCAUAUAUUCAUAUAUGUGUUCAGAUGCUUCUUUCCAAACAUAUAAAAUGUGUUCAGAUGCAUGUCUUCAGUUCAUGUUUUUCAUUUUUUUCUUGGGACAGGAAAGUAGUAUGUAAUGCACGUAUCUCCAGAUGAGAUAGGAGAUAGAUAUAUUUAUGUGUCAGAUACUACUGUCUGACUAUUUGUGGUAAUAAGUAUUGGUGUUAAGUAGAAUCUCCAUUUUUGUUCCCAUCAUAGGACCAUUAAACAGUCCGAUGCGAGCC